rnacentral:rRNA from 1 species
GGUCAGCAUACUGCCGUGAAUACGUUCCCGGGCCUUGUACACACCGCCCGUCACACCAUGAGAGUUGGGAAUACCCGAAGCCUGUGAGCUAACGUUAAGAGGCAGCAGUCGAAGGUAGAAUCAAUGAUUGGGGUGAAGUCGUAACAAGGUAAC